CUUUGAGGAAAAGCCAACAGCCCAAACGCAGCAGAAGUCGUUCUUAUUAUUCCCUCUGUUUCUGCUUUCUCUAGCAGCACUGCAAAAUAAUUGACUUCUGCUUCUCUCCUCCUCCUCUCUCCUCCUCCCAUGGCGGUUCUGAGCCGCGUUCUGAGACUAAGAGUGGCGGGAGUAGACCGCUUCGCAGUCCGGAGCUUCCGGUCUUCGUCUUCGUCGUGGCGAAAUUCCGAAAUUGACCCCAAGGCGGCGGCGGCGUCGCAGCAGCUCGGGGAAAAGGCGCUUCCUUUACAGCGAGACGUCAAGGACAGAAACGUCCAGUGGGUUUUCCUCGGCUGCCCGGGCGUCGGCAAAGGCACCUACGCGUCUAAACUCUCGACUCUGCUCGGCGUGCCUCAUAUUGCGACCGGCGAUCUCGUCCGCGACGAGCUUUCCUCUUCCGGUCCGCUAGCUAAGCAGCUUGAGGAGGUUGUAAAUCAAGGCAAAUUGGUUUCGGAUGAGAUUAUAAUAAACUUGCUGUCCAAGCGUCUUGAAGCUAGCUCAGCUAAGGGUGAAACUGGCUUUAUUCUUGAUGGUUUCCCUCGCACAAUUCGACAGGCGGAAAUUUUAGAGGGAGUUACUGAAAUUGACUUGGUAAUCAACCUAAAGCUUCGGGAAGAGGCUUUGCUUGCCAAGUGCCUUGGAAGAAGGAUUUGCAGUGAGUGUGGAGGAAAUUACAAUGUUGCCAGCAUUGAUAUUAAAGCUGAGGAAGGGGACCCUGGUAUGUACAUGGCUCCACUUCUUCCACCUCCACUUUGUACAUCAAAGCUUAUCUCGCGAUCCGAUGACACUGAAGAAGUUGUUAAGAGACGACUACGUAUAUAUAAUGAAAUGAGUCAACCUGUGGAGGAGUUCUAUCGCAGUCGGGGAAAAUUGUUAGAGUUUGAUCUUCCUGGAGGGAUUCCAGAAUCCUGGCCAAAGCUGCUUCGAGCUUUAAAUCUGGAAGACCAUGAUGACAAAGAGUCUGCCGCAGCAUGAAUUGUAUAUUGUGUACUAAUAUACAUUAGACGAGUUGGCUUCCAUUAGGUGAAGCUAGAUCAUUCAUUCUUUGCAUGUCAGGGAAGCUGGUGCAUUUAUUUUAAAAGUUGAAAGGAAAAAUUUCUAUAUGCAAUAAAAGCACGAAGAGGCCCAUUUCCUUUCGAGUUAUGUAAGUGGCCAUGGGUCCUGUGUGGGGAGGUCCGCAACCCUUAAAAGAGCCAACGCUCAAAUUUGAGUAUCUGGUGUACUGGUGUAACUCGGGAGAGAACAGUCAUACUCGGUUCUAUUGCCAUCCGAGCAACAAAAGCACUAAAAUAAAACAAAAUUGUCUUUGCCAUUGAUGCAGAAUAACAACUAAAAUGGUUUAGUUGGGUGAGGGUACAACAUUGAUCAAACUCUGAUGGGCUGGUUGGUAUCGUUUUCUUUCUGGGUUUGUUCCAAUUUUUCCAGGAAACCACUCAAUAAGAUAACCUACAUCUGUAUGCUACUCUCUAUUUUUACUGAUAACCUGAAGUUAUGACUUACAAGUUACAACCUCUCUAACAAAUGUAACUUGCAGGAAACCGAAAUCUUGAACCGAAUCCAAAAACUCAUGAGCAAGUGAGCAACCAUAUCAGUUCUUUGUAGCUUCUUUCUAGAUAUGCUGUAUGUGAAUAUGGUAAAGUUAGGCGAGAGCUUCCAAGAUAUCCGGGUUAUGCUGCUUGAUCGGUGUCAAUUCAUAGCUCUGAGUCUCCUUCAAUAACAUCCACUCAAGUUGUAAGUCCAUAUUUACAUUUUGAACUGCUAAUGCACCUUUUCUAUGAUCAAAUAAUACUCCACUUUCCAGAACUAA